rnacentral:rRNA from 1 species
CCCAGUGACUCUUUUAAACGGCCGCGGUAUCCUAACCGUGCAAAGGUAGCAUAAUCACUUGUCUCUUAAAUAGAGACUAGAAUGAAUGGCUAAAUGAGGACUAAUCUGUCUCUUACGGACAACCAAUGAAAUUAAUCUUUCAGUACAAAAGCUGAAAUAAAAACAUAAGACGAGAAGACCCUGUGGAGCUUCAAACCAAACACACCCUGCAUGCUCCUCAGGUUUUUAGUUGGGGCGACUUCGGAGCACAAUAAAACCUCCAAAAUUUUUAUCUUCAAGAUUAACAAACCAAAAACUUUAUUAGACCCAGCAAUGUAUGACAUUGUCUGAUCACUGAACCAAGUUACCCCAGGGAUAACAGCGCCAUCCCCUCCUAGAGUUCAUAUCGACAAGGGGGUUUACGACCUCGAUGUUGGAUCAGGACACCCCAAUGGUGCAGCCGCCAUUAAAGGUUCGUUUGUUCAACGAUUAAUUAGUCC